GGAGCCUGCGGUUUAAUCGGACUCAACGCCGGGAAACUCACCAGAUAAGACAGCUGAAUGAUAGUCGGGCUGAAGACUCUACUUUGACUAGCUGAGAGGAGGUGCAUGGCCGUCGUCAGUUCGUACUGUGAAGCAUCCUGUUAAGUCAGGCAACGAGCGAGACCCACGCCAACAGUUGCCAGCUCGUCCUCCGGGAUGGUGGGGACACUGUUGGGACCGCCUCUGCUAAAGAGGAGGAAGGAAUGGGCAACGGUAGGUCAGCAUGCCCCGAAUUAUCUGGGCUACACGCGGGCUACAAUGGGUGGGACAAUGGGUAUCGACACCGAAAGGUGAAGGCAAUCUCCUAAACCCAUCCGUAGUUCGGAUUGUGGGCUGCAACUCGCCCACAUGAAGCUGGAAUCUGUAGUAAUCGUGUCUCAAAAUGGCACGGUGAAUAUGUCCCUGCUCCUU
rnacentral:rRNA from 1 species